rnacentral:rRNA from 1 species
GACAGAGGCCUCAAGCGUUAGGCGGAAUCACUGGCUUAAAGCGUGUGUAGGCGGAUCGUUAAGUGUCUUGUGAAAUCCCACGGCUCACCCGUGGAACUGCUGGGCAUACUGGCGAUCUUGGGCCAACUAGGGGCAACUGGAACAAGCGGUGGAGCGGUGAAAUGCGUAGAUAUCGCUUGGAACGCCAAAGGUGAAAACAGGUUGCUGGGGUUGUGCCGACGCUGAGACACGAAAGCCAGGGGAGCAAACGGG